GUAGUUGACUCCGUGGCACGAGGACGACGCUGGCGGCGUGCUUAACACAUGCAAGUCGAACGCUGAAGCCCAGCUUGCUGGGUGGAUGAGUGGCGAACGGGUGAGUAACACGUGGGUAAUCUGCCCCGUACUCCGGGAUAAGCCCGGGAAACUGGGUCUAAUACCGGAUAGGACACGCUAUCGCAUGGUGGUGUGUGGAAAGCUCCGGCGGUACGGGAUGAGCCCGCGGCCUAUCAGCUUGUUGGUGGGGUGAUGGCCUACCAAGGCGACGACGGGUAGCCGGCCUGAGAGGGUGACCGGCCACACUGGGACUGAGACACGGCCCAGACUCCUACGGGAGGCAGCAGUGGGGAAUAUUGCACAAUGGGCGCAAGCCUGAUGCAGCGACGCCGCGUGGGGGAUGACGGCCUUCGGGUUGUAAACCCCUUUCGCCCGGGACGAAGCGUAAGUGACGGUACCGGGAGAAGAAGCACCGGCCAACUACGUG
rnacentral:rRNA from 1 species